rnacentral:rRNA from 1 species
CAAUUUAAACAACGAAGAGUUUGAUCCUGGCUCAGGAUGAACGCUAGCGACAGGCUUAACACAUGCAAGUCGAGGGGCAGCGGGGUGUAGCAAUACCCGCCGGCGACCGGCGCACGGGUGAGUAACGCGUAUGCAACUUGCCUAUCAGAGGGGGAUAACCCGGCGAAAGUCGGACUAAUACCGCAUGAAGCAGGGG